rnacentral:lncRNA from 1 species
CUCUCCCCCACCCUCUCUCUUCUCCCUCUCCCUCCAAGUCUGGCACUGAACGCGAACUGUUUUGCUUUGCUCUGGGAAGAGUGCAGACACAUAACGUGAAAUCCCGAGCUUUUUGCGUGGUGCAUUUAAAAUGCUUCCUUGUUUAUAUUACCCUCAUUCCCUCACCUCCCCCACCCCCUCACCAGUCCUUCCAAAUUUCCCUAGAAAUCUAUGUAAAGCAUGCGGAGGGGAAAACAUUUGCACAAAAAGUGAAGGAGCUCGCCAAGGUGGUCAAACCUGUCCUGACACCCAGAGGUCUGCAUGAGGGGUGGCCACUGAAGGAGGAGUUCUCAAAGGCCACAGGUGAUGAAGAGCUUGGAUGAAUAAACUUAGAAGUCCCAGGAAAAUAGCAAAAAUUUCAUCUCCUGAAGAAAUUUGAAGAUUUUUUUGGAUAUUCUUUUAAAGGUGAAACUUUUCUUCUUUAGGAUUGGACAACUGAAUUUAAAGGCAAGUUAAAGUUCAAUAUUUUGAACAAUGUUUAAAUCAAGAUGAGCGAGAAGACAGAACUGUUAAAAGGUUUUAUUUUACAGCCAAGUGAAGGAUUCAGCUAUGUCCCAAAGGAUUAAACAAGAUGGUAUGCUUAAUAAUUCCUCGCUUCUAUGAAACUCCCUGAUUAUGAAGUGUACUUUCAUUCUAUAGAACUACUCCUGAUUUCAUCAGGAAACUCUGAUCUGAAACUCAAUUUACAGAAAUAUUAAAAAUGAAUUUUCGACUAAAUGGGAAUAUUUGUAUACUAAUAUGAUACAAUAUUGUUGCUUCAUUUUUUUCAUAUUAAAUACUAUUCUAAACUCUAAAUUUGUUAAUAAAUGAAGCAGAAAUCUAAUGUGAUUA